AACCCAUGAUGAGGGCACCGUCUCAAUAAGUCCUUAUACCUCUCUCAUGCAUCAUAUAGGGUCUUUAAAUCAAUCUGAAUGAAGAAAGAGAUAUCAUUCCUCAACUU
rfam:Gossypium raimondii chromosome 5, whole genome shotgun sequence.